CCUACGGGUGGCAGCAGUGAGGAAUAUUGGUCAAUGGACGCAAGUCUGAACCAGCCAUGCCGCGUGCAGGAAGACGGCUCUAUGAGUUGUAAACUUCUUUUGUACGAGGGUAAACGCAGAUACGUGUAUCUGUCUGAAAGUAUCGUACGAAUAAGGAUCGACUAACUCCGUGCCAGCAGCCGCGGUAAUACGGAGGAUUCAAGCGUUAUCCGGAUUUAUUGGGUUUAAAGGGUGCGUAGGCGGUCGGAUAAGUUAGAGGUGAAAUCCCGAGGCUCAACUUCGGAAUUGCCUCUGAUACUGGUAGGCUAGAGAGUAGUAGCGGUAGGCGGAAUGUAUGGUGUAGCGGUGAAAUGCUUAGAGAUCAUACAGAACACCGAUUGCGAAGGCAGCUUACCAGGCUCCUUCUGACGUUGAGGCACGAAAGCGUGGGGAGCAAACAGGAUUAGAUACCCGGGUAGUC
rnacentral:rRNA from 1 species